CGUCAUUUGUACCCUCCAGCCUUGCUGGGUGCUGGGUGUUUGUUCCGCUGCGCGCGUGAACUCGCCUUAAAUACAUUGGCAGCCAGCGUCCCGCGUGGGAGCGCAGCACAUUUUGCGCUCUCCGCUGUGUUCGGCGGCGUCCACAAGCCUAUACCUUUACGCUUGACCUCGGAUCAGGUAGGGAUACCCGCUGAACUUAA
rnacentral:misc_RNA from 1 species